rnacentral:lncRNA from 1 species
UUAAACUCCAUAGCAUAAAUGUCGAAAUUAAGGUAGGGAGUGGUGGUCCAAAGGUUAUUCCACCGUUUCGAUAGAAUCGUUGUCCUAACAACAUCAGUCAUAGGCAACAACCAAAAUAUGUGAAAUAUUAACGAGUCCGGCAACUCACUGAGUCGAUCCAUCAAAACCUCUGAAACAUAAUGAAGCAUCAAUGAAUGAAUUGCGCAUCAAAAACUCAGAAUUUACCUUAAACUUAUUGGAAGCAGAAUAAAACUUACUAUAUACUAUCAAAUUCUCGAAGAUUGAUUACCUGAAGAUGAACGCGUCUUCAUUCUCGCGCCAGCAAAACCCUUGUUUGAGCUGAUGAACAAACACACGCCAACAAAACCCCUAUUUGACGAACAAACACAUUAAUUAAUUAUUACAAUUAAAUAAUUAUUCUAUUAAUUAAUUACAAUUAAAUAAUUAUUCUUUUAAUAGGUAACAUAAAAAUGAAAAUAGAUUUUUAAUUCAUGUAACUAUGGAGAAUAAAAUUAUAUAGAUUUUAAUAUAUAUUUAAUUAAUUACUCUAUCUGUCCAUGAAAAAGAGUUUUUUUUAGAGUAGACACGGGUUUUAAUAAAAUUGUUAAAGUUGUUGUAAAUAGAAUUAAGGUACAAUUUAUGGAAUAGUGUCAGUACAAAAAGUAGAAUAAAUAUAUAUAUUAUUAGUUAAAAAUAGAAUAAAAGUAUAAUUUAUACUCUCUCCGUACCAGCCCAAUGGGCUCAGUUUCCUUUUUGGGACGUCUCACUCCAAUAGGCCCAAUCUUAUUAUAGAAAGAAUUAGGGCUUAUGUAAGUGUAAGUUUGAGGCUUAAUUAAGGGAGAUAUACUCCUAAUUAUUUCUCUCUCAUUCACACACUCAGCCCAUUCACCGAACUCAUUCCUCGAGCUCAUUCUAUCAUUUCUCUCUCUACUCAAACCCUAGAAUCGAAAAGGCGCCGACCCUUCUUCAACCUCCGUCGCCGCUCCUCCACCGAUCAACCGCAACCCACUUCUUCGAUCUCCCGCCGUGAUGUGUACUCCAAAACCCCCUUCGAUUUGUCCAGAAUUCAACCAAUCCUUGGUUGAAUUCGUCGAUUCCGAGUCUCUGAGCGGUGGUCACGUCUCCGACUCGCAAUUUUCCGAUGGCUGUGACUCUCGUAUAGAUCUUGGUGGCUACUUCCCAUGUCUUCCUCGAGAGAGUAAAAGGAAGGCGGAUCGACAGAUCUUUGUCCACUUCCAAUGUGAGAGGGAGGGCAUUAUGCCUUAUUAGAGCAUCUUUGCUCAUAUGGGGCAGUUUGUAAGCAUUAUGCCCCUUCAUCUUCAUUGUUUCUAUCAUGCAACCUUGUAGUGAUAAGAAAACCUUGUUCAAUGCUAUUGGACUGAGAUCCAUGAAGCUUUUGCAUACUGCAUUAACUAACUGAUCUACUGUGGUGCAAACUGACUCCUCUUGAAUGCUUUGAAUUGCUCUAAACCACCCCAAGUCAUUGACAUUUGUGUUCAGGUGGUAGUUGGGGGUUGUUGAACAAGUCUAAUAUCAAAGCCAUUCUGAGAGGCAGCCUGUCUGAACUCUAUAUCUGAAUCACUUAUAUGUGGCUUUGCAUUAUCUUGUUGAAUGAAGAUCAACUUUGAUGCACCUUGAGGCAAUUUGUUCAUAAUAGUUGGAAAAAGACUGAAAAAAGCAAUAACUUGAAUAAAUGCAGGCUGCAUUACACUUUGCAUACUAAUUCUAUGACAUAAAGUACAUUUUGGCAUUGCAUACAAGUCCUUGUGUGUCUCCAUACCUGGUUGAUGAAACACUCUCUCAUCACUGCUUGAGUGAUUGAUUGAAUUGGUUUAGUCUCUGGUGUUCCUGCAUUCAUAUUCUUGCUUCUUCUCUGGGCUAGAAUGAAUUGUGUGAAUGGGAAAAUACCAAUUUUCCCAUCAAACAAUACAUUGCCAUUCUCAUCAAAGAGUGGCCUGCAAACUGCACACAAAAACAUCACCUUGGUGAUGAAUUUUUUACUCUUACAGCUCCUGUAAGGUUCAGGCUCCUCUUUUGUGAGGUAAUAUCGAUUAUUUGCCUUUGUCAUGUAGAACCAUUUCUCAUCUACGUGCACUACAUUAUGCAUUGUCUUAAAUUUCAGAAUAUUUGCAAUCCUAUCAUACUCUAAGGCUUCAAGAGAAAACCUUAACCUCAGUAGCUUAUUAGGGGCAGUGAGAUCAGGCUUUAUGGCAUUCGUAUGCGCUCUGAUUAGGCCCAAAUGAACCCAACGUCCCACUGUGCUCUUGCUAACUUGUAUGCCAACUGCCAAUUUUCUGAUUGUUCCUCUUCUACAUAGCUCUAGAGCCUGAAUUUGUGCUAUGUCUAUCUGGACUCGCUUCCUCAAACGUGGUGUGAAUCUUUUUUUGAUGUCAAAUUGAUAAGCUGACCUUGAUCUUUUUGUUUCUUUGCUUCAGCCCACAAUCGAGUGACAGUUCGGCGCCCUAAGUUGAAUUUGAUGCCGGCUUCUUUCAUUUUGCCGUACUUGGGGAUGCCAUCUUUCGAGUGUUGAAGGAGAAACUGGACAACCAUCAUCUUCUUAUCAUCUUCAAGAUCUCUCAAGUGCAUUUUGUUGUGUUUCCUUUUUGUAUGAAGCUUUUAGUUUAGAAGUGUAGAAUGUUGUGUAGGAGUAAAUGAACUCAUUUAUAGGAGUAAUGGCUGUCUGCUUUUCGAGUGUUGAAGGAAAUUUAUGGCUCCUUUUUUUUGGUGUAAACAGCCGCCAAUUUCCCAUGAAAAUUUAUUGAAUUCAGCCGCCUUUUUAAUGCUUGUGCCUAUUUAAUUCAGUGUUUAAUUCAGCCGCAUAUUUCAAUUUAUUAGCCUAUUUAAUUCAGUGUUUAAUUCCAGCCGCAUAUUUCAAUUUAAUUUCAGUUCACAUUUUAUUUUAAUUCACUUAAAUUUAAUGAAGAAGGUAUAAAUGAGAUAACAAAGAAAAAAUGAUUAAGGAAAAAUAAGGGAAUACUUAAAAGCUUAAUCUUUAGUGGACCACACUACUUAUCUAUCAAAAAGCAAGUUUCUUAAUCUCCGUGCCGAAAGCAACUGAGCCUAUUGGCCUGGGACGGAGGGAGUAUAUAUUAUAAAUGAAGAAAUAUUAAUGUUGAAGGAAUAAAUUAGUGAAUUAGAAAAAAUAUUAAUGUUGAAGGAAUAAAUUAGUGAAUUAGAAAGAAAAAAAAUAUAGUAUACUCAAUGAAAUAAAGUUCAAUUACUAUAUGACAUACACUUGAAGACAAAGUAUUACAAGAAUGUAUUGUAGUCGAUACAGUUCUAAGAAAAUGAACUACUAUAGUGUGAAUAACAAAGUCGAAAUAAUUAUACUGAAUGAAUCAUACGUAGGGAAAUCGAGUGAAAAACAAAGUAACGUUAGCUUUUUUAAAAAUGUAUUAUAAUAAAGUAGUGAACGGGAGGUAAUAUUGUCAAAAUUAUUAUUAUGAACUACUAUAGUGUGAGUAAUGAGCUCGUAUAAUUAUACUCAAUGUAAUAAAGUUGAAUAAUAUAAUUGAAAUAAAUUAGUGAAGUUGACGAAAAAAUUUAAAUAAAAAUAUUAUUCAAUUAUUUAAAAAUAUGAAUCUUACUAAAUUAUUAGUGUAAAACAAUAAAAAAUAUAAUUUUCGAAACAAAUAAUGUGUGUAGAAACAAAUCUAUGAUUAUUUUUAAGAGAAUCAUAAAUAUGUGGAAACAAAUAAAUAAAACAUAAUUUUCGAAAUAAAAUAAAUAAUUUAAUCUUUAAAAAAAUAAUUUCGAAAAAAGUAAUAGCUAGAAAAAAAUAUAGGAUUAUUUUAACAAGAAACACUAAAUUAUUGGUAACAAAUCAAUACUAAUAUUUUGAAACCAAAAAAAUAAAAAAAAUCCGGAAUAAAACUAUAUGAUUUAUAUAAUUUUGGAAAAUAAAAAAACCAACAAAUAAGGAAACCAAAAAAACUGAAAAAUUAGGAACAAAAAGAAGCAUAAAUUUCGAAAAUCAUAAAACAGAAAAAAAAAAAAAAACAAUAAAAACAAUAUAUUUAAUGAUGGAUAAAUUAGUAAAUCAAUAAAUCACUAAAAACCGGUUUUUCGCAGGUGUCCAGGACACUAGGUGUCCAAAUAUCACUACCCUUAUGAUUACUAGCUACAAAAAAUCGUUACGCAGAUUGGCCUACUUUUGGAAUAUAUUUGACUAACUAUCAGCUAGACUCUGUAAUCCUAAUGCAAUAACGACUUUUAUUACUUAGCAAACUCUUGCAAAUAACUAAUUAAUUAAUUUUUAGUAAUUAUUAAAUUCAAUUUUUGAGUGAUGCUAUGAGAUAAAACUACCUAUGGUCCAUUCAUUAAUUAACAAAUCAACUCAUCUAGAACAAAUGAAAGUUGCUAAAAAGCUCGCCCUAAGUUAAUUAAUAGUUACUACUUUAUAAGUGCAAUAGUGUUUCUAGUGGCUUAUUUAAAGCCACUUGCACAAGUUUGUAGAAAACACAAAUCACAAUACUAUCAAUUAAUAGCCUCUUCAUCACAAUGCUUCCAAAGUUGUUCUUAGUCAUUUCUACACUAAUUUCCUCCUUCAUUUUCACUACUCAUUCUUAUAAUACCCAAUGUCUUCACCAUCAGAAAAUCUUGUUGCUUCAACUCAAGGAUGAGUUGAGUUUCAAUUCUUCUCUUUCAACAAAAUUGAUGCGAUGGAAUGAAAGGGAUGAGUGCUGCAAGUGGCACGGUGUGGAAUGUGAUGUUGCUGGCUACGUCGUCAGUUUGCAGCUCGAUAAUGAAUCCAUUUCUGGUGGAAUCGCGGAUUCAUCGAGUCUCUUCAAACUUAUGCAUCUGCAGAAGCUAAAUCUAGCCUACAAUUCUUUCAACAACACUCCCAUUCCAAGAGGUAUUCACAAUCUCACCUAUUUGACACACUUGAAUUUAUCCCAUGCUGAAUUUGGUGGGCAGGUUCCAGCUGAAAUUUCUUCCUUGAGGAGGUUGGUUAGUCUCGAUAUCUCCUAUGGUUUUACAAUAUCUGUGAAACUGGAGAUGCUUGUCCAAAAUCUAACAGGGCUUCGAGAGCUCUAUCUUGAUCGUGUGAAUGUUACUUCUUCUCAUGAGAGGAGAAAAUGGAGCCACAUUAUAUCAUCAUAUUUACCCAACCUCACCGCGUUGAGCUUGCGUUCUUGUGGUUUGUCUGGCCCUUUAGCUAAGUCCUUUUGGCAACUCCAUUCCCUUCAUCCUUCGACUGGUUAUAACAAUCUUUCACAGAACUUCUGGACUCAUUCGCCAAUUUUCCAAGUUUGACUACUUUGUCUCUUUUUGGCUGCAGUUUGAAGGGUUCGAUUCCAUCCACCUUUGCUAACCUAACCAACCUGAUUCGUCUCGAUUUGUCAAGAAANGGGAAAAUACCAAUUUUCCCAUCAAACAAUACAUUGCCAUUCUCAUCAAAGAGUGGCCUGCAAACUGCACACAAAAACAUCACCUUGGUGAUGAUUUUUUUACUCUUACAACUCCUGUAAGGUUCAGGCUCCUCUUUUGUGAGGUAAUAUUGAUUAUUUGUCUUUGUCAUGUAGAACCAUUUCUCAUAUACGUGCACUACAUUAUGCAUUGUCUUAAAUUUCAGAAUAUUUGCAAUCCUAUCAUACUAUAAGGCUUCAAGAGAAAACCUUAACCUCAGUAGCUUAUUAGGGGCAGUGAGAUCAGGCUUUAUGGCAUUCGUAUGCGCUCUAAUUAGGCCCAAAUGAACCCAACGUCCAACUGUGCUCUUGCUAACUUGUAUGCCAACUGCCAAUUUUCUGAUUGUGCCUCUUCUACAUAGCUCUAGAGCCUGAAUUUGUGCUAUGUCUAUCUGGACUCGCUUCCUCAAACGUGGAGUGAAUCUUUUUUUUUGAUGUCAAAUUGAUAAGUUGACCUUGUUCUUUUUGUUUCUUUGCUUCAGCCCACAAUCGAGUGACAGUUCGGCGCCCUAAGUUGAAUUUGAUGCCGGCUUCUUUCAUUUUGCCGUACUUGGGGAUGCCAUCUUUCGAGUGUUGAAGGAGAAACUGGACAACCAUCAUCUUCUUAUCAUCUUCAAGAUCCCUAAAGUGCAUUCUGCUGUGUUUCCUUUUAGUAUGAAGCUUUUAGUUUAGAAGUGUAGAAUGUUGUGUAGGAGUAAAUGAAUAUUUAUAGGAGUAAUGGCUUUUAGCUUUCGAGUGUUGAAGGAAAAAUAUGGCGCCUUUUUUUUGAUGUAAACAGCCGCCAAUUUUGGAUGAAAAUUUAUUGAAUUCAGCCGCCUUUUUAAUGGUUUUGCCUAUUUAAUUCAGUGUUUAAUUCCAGCCGCAUAUUUCAAUUUAAUUCAGCUCGCAUAUUUCAGUUCACAUUUUAUUUUAAUUCAGCUCGCAUAUUUCAAUUCACAUUUUAUUUUAAUUCACUUAAAUUUAAUGAAGAAGGUAUAAAUGAGAUAACAAAGAAAUAAUGAUUAAGGAAAAAUAAGGGAAUACUUAAAAGCUUAAUCUUUAGUGGACCACACUACUUAUCUAUCAAAAAGCAAGUUUCUUAAUCUCCGUGCCGAAAGCAACUGAGCCUAUUGGGCUGGGACGGAGGGAGUAUUUAAAUAUAGGAGAGAAGGUGUAAUAUGAUGUUUCAAAAAAUGAUAUGCGACUCUUUUUCGUAGAAAAUAAAAGUCUAAGUAAAAUUCUUUUUUGUGGAUGGAUAAAGUAAUAUAGUGUUAUACUAAUAUUUUUGAGGUCUAAUUCUUCUUCUUUUAAUAGGAAAGUGAAACAAAACUGCAAAUGUAUUUUUCAUAUAGCGAUAGAAGAUGAAAUCGUGUACAUUUUUUGAUAAAUCUAAUAUAAUGAUAUAUUUUUAAUCUAUAUUCAAUAAAUUAAUAUAUAUUCAUUUUAAAAAUACGAUGGUUUUAUAAGUUGUGAUUGCUUGUAAGCAAAUCGCCUCUCCCAAAAUUUUGACUCGGACUUGUUCCAAAAUUUGUGUAUUUUUUGGCCAUAACCCAUUCAUUUUACGAUCAAAAUCAUCAUUCCAAUUCCUGUUUCCUAACAGCAUACAUAAGUAUAACUCUUCGACUUGAUUAUGCUUGGCAAAAUGCAGCCACAAUCUUCUGAAGCACUACAUUAAUUUGACAUUGGUAAGUAAAGCAAGACAAAUAAGAAUCUAGGUUUCAUCAACUUAACAAGUGUGCUACAAAUGAAAAGAGCAUCAACUUAAUCCAAAAGUGUCAAAUUGCUCUGCUUCCCUAAAUAAACAAAUAUAAUCCCCAAAAUGAAACAAAUAGAGGAAACAAAAAAUUGAAACAUGACAAGUAGUCAGAUGAAGCAAAACUAUCAGUUACCAGUUACCAGCAUUCCUCUAUGAUUGAAGACAUAACUUUGGUAGAUCAAUAUUCAUAGAAAGUGAAAUGUGCAGUUCGCGACGAUCUUGGCAUCUUUAGCAGCCUCUGCGAUGCACGAAGCAAAGACUCUGAUGGGCGUGAAAGUCGCGUGAAUCCUUUUACUCGGAACACAAUCUUUUCUAGCUUACUUGCAUUUUUCAACAGAAACUCGAGAAAUGGAAAUAUGUUAUCACUCUCUUCAACCAGAAUAACCUCAACUGUUCUCAACUGCAGCACAAACGACGUAGGAAGAUUUACUUCAAACUCGAGGUAGAUGUUAGGAUCGGUGCCCUGUGCAUCUUUGGAUAUGCCACUUUCUGUAACUUUAAUGACUAACUUCUUUGAUAGAGGGAAAAUCUCAAAUACACCAUCAACUUUAGUGUAAUAAAAUCUGAACUGUAAGAGCUUGACAUUAGGAGAAGAUGAAUUCAUGCAUCCCUCUAUCAUUGCUCCAAGCACCUGUUGUAACAAUAAGUUUACAAUAAGAGGAUGAUCUGAUUGAAGCAAAGGCACACCAUUGAUUCAAAGAGUGUCCAUAAUUGGGCUCAAAGCUAGUCACAAAUAAUGCAAACUCUACUCGGUAACACAAAAUCUUUAACAUGUGAUUAAAUGUGAUAACCUUAAUAUAAUCCAUUCAUUAAAGAAGCCACUGAUGAAACAAAGAAAAACACACAAACACGGCCAUGCCAUCAAUGUAAAAGACAGUUUAACGAAAUCAAACCUUGAGGCAACAGGGCAACAAUGUGACGUUUCCAACGUGCUGGAUGCUUGGAAGAAUUUGACCCAAUAAAUCUCCAAGAAAAUGGCUUCUGGAUAAGAAGUCAUCAAUCCCUCCGGAAAAGCCGUCACAAUAUAUUUCAUCAGCAUGAUGCAGAUCAGAAUACCCAAAAGUUGCACGGUUUAAAGAUGAGACAUCCAUCAACAAACACUUGCUAUAUGCAAGUCCUUUAAUUACUAAGGUUUCAAGAUUUGGCGUCCAGAUUCUCAGCUCCCUCUUAGAAGCAGAUGCAUCAUCGGUAUAAUAUAAAUGCUUCCUAAUCGAAAGCUGUUUCAAACUUGUAGAACGGAUAUACAAGCUUUUACCAGUUUCUACAACAGACAUGGUCAAGACUUCCAACUGAGGGCUACCACACAAUAUUUGAUUAAUCACAUCUCCAGUGACCCCAAAUCCAUUCAUAAUUCUUAAACUCUUGAGAUGAUUCCACUGCACAUUCCCCUUAAUUCUAAAGCGACAAUUCCUGAUCGAUAACACUUUAAGCGAUGAACAUGAGUACAGAUACUGCGGCACACAAUGUGCUUUGUGAUCAUCAGAACUCCAUGAAAUAUAAAAAUUCUCCCAAAGCAAGUAUAAUUCUUCGACUUCAUGUUUCUUGGCGAAUCGCACCCACAAAUCAGCAUCCUCAUGUAUUGAACGCUCAUGAUCCAAUUUAACCUUGAAUUUCAGAACCUUUACCCCAUCCCAGCGUAAUAAAGCCCGAUGAACAAUGUUUGCAAAUUUUUUUCCAGUAUCAGAAUCAAAAAUAUGAUUAUUAGUAGAAAUAUGAUUAUCAGUUAUAUUAAGGAAGGGAGUGGCGGUCCAGAGGUUUUCCCAGCGCUUGGAUAGAAUUGUGGUCUUAACAACAUCAGUUAUAGGCAACAACCAAAAUAUGUGAAAUAUUAACGAGUCCGGCAACUCACUGAGUCGAUCCAUGAAAACCUCUGAAACAUAAUGAAGCAUCAAUGAAUGAGAAGUGCAUGAAAAACUCAGAAUUUACCUUAAACUUAUUGGAAGUAAAAUAACACAUUGUAGUAUCAAAUUCUCGAAGAUUACCUCAAGAUGAACGCGUCUUCGUUCUCGCGCCAAUAAAACCCUUGUUUGAGCUGAUGAACAAACACACGACACUCAAAAGGUAUUAAGCAAAGUGAAAAAGCGGUAAAUUAUUUAUAGACUAUAUUUUCUUCUCUCUUUUUUUUAUCUGUUUAUUUUAGUUUUUUUUUAUAGUUUUUUUCUAAAAUUAUGAAAUUCAAUUAAUUAUAAAAUAUUUAAUAUACAUAUCAAAUUAAAAAUCACGAUAUAAACUUCAAUAUUCUAUUUUAUAUAAAUAUUUGAUUUAAAAUGUAAAAAUUAUAUUUGUUUGAGGGUUAAAAUUUUAAAAAAUUCUCUUUCCUUUCUCAUCUUUUUUUGAAUAAAUUUAUUUUUUGAUUUUCAUCUUUUAACUCUUUUUUUUUUGCCUUUUUCAUAAUAUCGAUUUUUAUUUUUUUAAAUACUUUUUUUUUCAAUAUUCAUCUCAAAUAUAUUAAGUUAAAAUUAAUGUUUUUAUUAUAUUUAUAUCCGAAUUGAGAGAAAGUUGAAAUAGAGGUAACUAUUUAGCUGCCAAAUGUGGGCCAUAUUUUUGUGGGCCCAAAAUCUUUUGGGCCGGCAAGCCUGGGUUCCAAAGCAUGGCAUGAUGGGCUUGGGCUGAACCGAGAUUCUCAUUUGAUACCUUUGAUUGAAAGUAAUUGAAACAGAAGUUGCAUGCAGUUUGUAGAUAGCAAUAUCAUUUAAAUAUUGCCUCUAAAAAGAAAAUAUCGUUUAAAUAUUAAAUGCAAAUAUGAUCUAUACUUGCUCAUAUAGCCAUAGUUUGCCCAGAUUUGACCCAUGGAGAGUCGAAUUUGCCCUCACAACAUUUUCUAAUUCCUAUUUUACAAAAUAAUAUCUAAAGCACUGAUUGAGAAGCAAAGCAAGUAGUCUAACAAUCUAAGGUUUCAUCAAUAGUUUCAUUCAUAGCAGUAAGAAGUUAACAAGUGUGAUACAUAUCAAAACAUAAUGCUGCCAUUUUACCCAUUACCUAUGAUUGAAGAUAGCUUUGUAAGAUCAAUAUUCACAGAAAGUAAAUCGUGCAGUUCGCGAGGCUCUUGGCAUUUUCAUCAGCUUCUGUGAUGCACCAAGCAAAGAAUUUAGUGGUCCUUUCACUCGGACCACAAUCUUUUCUAGCUUACUCGCAUUUUUCAACAGAAACUCUAGAAAUAGAAAUAAGAAGUUAUCCUUAACCAAAGUAACCUCAACAGUCCUCAACUGCAGCACAAAGGACUUAGGAAGAUUUUGUUGAAGCUCGAAGUAGAUGAAACGACCACCCAGCAGUGAAUGUUGCUCAUCAUAGAACGCGACCCUUUCUCCAACUUCAAUGUUUAACUUCUUUGAUAGAGGGAAAAUCUUAAUCAUACCUGUAGAUUUAGAGUUGUGAAAUCUGAGCUGUAAGGACUUGACAUUAGGAGAAGAUGAAUUCAUGCAUCCCUCUAUCAUAGCUCGAAGCACCUGUUGUAUCAAUAAGUUUAUAAUAAGAGGAUGAGCUGAUUGAAGCAAACCAAUAAGAUAAAAGGCAGAAAACUGAUUCAAGGGGAUGCAACUGUAAUUCCCUAAACUUAAAAGAGUGUCUUUUAUUGUUUCAAAGCUAAUCACAAAUAAUGCAAUAUCUACGCUAACACAAAAUCUAGUCUAAUCAAAAGUAAAGAAGCCACUGAUGAAACAAGGAAAAACAUACAAACACAGCCCGGCCCACCAAUGCACAUUGCCGUUAGGAUUAAGAGAACAUGAUCAAUAGCAUGAUUAAUGAAAUCUUUGUCAAGCAUGAUUAGCUAAUGUCAAUGUUACCUACAUUAAUCUAUAAUAAACAUAAGCCAUAUAAGACAGUUCAAAGAAACCAAACCUUGUAGCAACAGGACAAUAAUGUGAUGUUUUCAGUAUGUUGGAUGCUUGGCAGAAUUUGACCAAAUAAAUCUCCAAGAAAACCGCUUGUGAAGACAUCGAUCCCGGAUAAGCGGUACCAAUGAUAUUCACCAAAAUGAUGUAGACCAGAAUACCCAAGAGUUGCACGGCUUAACGAUGAGACAUUCGUCAACAAACACUUGUUAUAUGGAAUUCCUUUAAUUUCUAAGGUUUUAAGAUUUGGAGUCCAAAUUUCCAAGGUUUUAUGAUUUGAACUCCAAAUUUUCAGCUCCCCUGUCGUAUAAGUAGAUGCAUAAUUAUCGGCAUUACAUAAAUGCUUGUUAAUCGACAGCUCUUUCAAACUAGUAGAUCGGAUACACAAGCUUUCACCACUUUCUACAAGAGAGAGGAUUAAGACUUCCAACUGAGGGCUACCACACAAUAUUUGAUUCAUCACGUCUUCAGUGACCCCAAAACCAUUAACAAUUGUUAAACUCUUGAGUUGAUUCCACUGCACAUUCCCGCUAAUACUAAAGUGAAAAGUGUUGAUCGACGACACUUUAAGCGACGAGCAUGAGUACAGAUACUGUGGCACCCAACAUACUUUGUGAUCAUUAUUACCAACCCUUUUCAUAUUUAAAUCCCUCCAAUGCAAGUAUAAUUCCUCGACUUCAUGUUUCUUGGCAAAUCGCACCCACAAAUCAGCAUCCACAUAAAUUGAAAGCUCACGGUGCAAAUUAACCUUGAAUUUCAGAACCUUUACCCCAUCCCAGCGUAAUAAAGCCCGAUGAACAAUGUUUGCAAAUUUUUUUCCAGUAUGAGAAUCAGAAAUAUGAUUAUCAGUAGAAAUAUGAUUAUCAGUUAUAUUAAGGAAGGGAGUGGUGGUCCAGAGGUUUUUCCAGCGCUUGGAUAGAAUUGUUGUCCUAACAACAUCAAUAAUAGGCAACGACCAAAAAAUGUGAAAUAUCGCAUAAUCCGGCAACUCACUGAGUCGAUCCAUCUUCAAAAUCAAAACCUAUGAAACAUAAUCAACUCAAAAUUUACCUAAAUAUAUUCGGAGCAAUAACACAUACUAUAAAAUUCUCGAAGAUUACCUCAAAAUGAACGCUUCGUUCACUCGGAUGCUGGAGCUUCGAAUAACCCUAGUUUGAGCUAAUCAACAAACACAGAGAGCUCAAAAGCCAUUAAAUCGGGCUGUAAACGAGCUUGGGUCGUCUAUUUGAGCUCGAGCUCGGCUCGUAAAAGGCUCGUUGAGCCGAGCUAGAGAAAGAGCUUGUUCAACCCAUGGAGGCUGCGAGUAGAAGCGACAGAGGCGGCGGCGGAGUCUGUGAAUCUGAAAAAAUCAGUUGACGAAAGGAUGUGCUUUUGUUACAGCCAGUGGGGUAGCAGGUUGACAAUGGCGGCGAAAAGUAGAGAAGAUGAAUUGAAUGAUAGCGGGAUUGAUUUCGGCCGGUGUGGGGUUGGGGUGAGGUGGGGUGGUGCGGUGGUGAGAGAGAGGCUGAAGAUGAGUGGCGGCGGGUUCGGAAUUGAAGAUACAUUUUUGAGGGUUUGCGUAUUUCUUCCACUUUGGGAGAUUCAGUUUUAAUAUUUUUUGUUUUUUUUUUUUCAAAAACAGUGCAGUAGUACAUGUAUAUAAUGUAUACAAUACAUAUAUUUAAAUAAAUUAAAAUUAGAAAAUUAAAAUUGGNACAUAAAUUUUUUUACAUGGAUUUAAAAAGGCGAAAAAGAAAUGAUUCGGGUUUGUUGCUUGAUAAAAAUUGAUGACACUAAUAUAAUUGAUUCAACAAGAAAUCCAAUACUGAUGCAACAAAGAAAACAUAUACUCCAAGCUGUCAUGCUUAAUUAAAAUUAGAAUUAAGAAAACAUGAUCAACAACUUUGCUGAAUAAAUAAUGAAAACUUUAUGAAACAUAAAAGUGAUCUCUUCAUCCUUGUUGCUCAUUCGUAUUAAUAUAUAAAAAAGUACGCAAAUAUGAUAGUUUAAGGAAACCAAAACACGUCCCCAAGUGGACAUCAUGCAGUGUGAUCUCCUGUGUGUGAACAGUGAAAUCUCGGGUUCAAACCCCACUGCUUCCCCUCCCCAAGUCAAAAAAAGAAAAAAAGAAACCGAAACUCAAUGCAACGGUACAUUAAUGUGACGUUUUCAACAUAUUGAAUGAUUGAAAGAAUUUGACAAAACAAAUUUGAGGGUUUGCGUGUAUUUCUUUCACUUUGGAAGAGUCAGUUUAAAUAUUUUUUGUUUUUUGCAAAAACAAUGCAGUAUUAUUAUUAUUAUUAUUAUUAUUAUUAUUAUUAUUAUAUAUGUAAAUAAAUUAAAAUUGGAAUUAUAAAAAAAAUUACUCCCAGCAUCGCAUUUUAUUGCACGUAAAAUAUAAAAAAAUAAAUAUAAAAUGAUUAAAAGUGAUAGGGCCUAUAUUUUUUUAUGUGUUAAAUUUUGCCCAUUUGAUAGGAAAAAAUGAAUAAUAUUGAUGAAUCAACAACAAACAAAUUCCCUGUUUAUUUAUGAAUUUAGAAGAGAACUCCAAAGACCAAAUGAAAAACACUUAAAACGCGCAGAGAACUCAAGUACUUUUAUAAAUCUUCGAUACGUGGUUUACAUUUGUGUGGAAGCACUCUAUUUAUAGGAAAAAAGAAAAAAAAUCAUUUACAUUUCUCUGUUUACAUACCUCAACCUACAAAUUUCUCCUUCCUGCCAACAUAUGUUGCAUGCAAAUUGUAAGCACAGUUGUCCACGUAAAAUAGAAAGGAAUUAAAAAAAGAAAUCGUAUGCAGUUUAUAGAUAGCAAUAUCGUUUAAAUAUCAAAUGCAAAAAUGAUCUAUACAUGCUCAUAUAGCCAUACUUUGCCCAGAUUUAACCCAUGGAGAGUCGAAUUUGCCCUUCCCAAAAUUUUCUAAUUCUACAAACUAAUAUAUGAAGCACUACAUUAGUUGGACAAGACUGAAUAACAAUCUAAGUUCCAUAAAUAGUUGCAUUCAUAGCAUCAAGAAGUUAACAAGUGAGACACAUAUCAAAACAACAUCAGCUUCAUCCAGAAGUGUCAAAUUGCUUUGCCUCACUGAAAAUAUAAUCCCAAAAUGAAACAGAGGAAAGAAACAGAUAGUCGGACGAAGCAAAAGGAUAUCAAGCACAUAAUGCUGCCAUUUUACCCAUGUAGUUACCUAUGAUUGAAGAUAGCAUGGUAAGAUCAAUAUUCACAGAAAGAAAACACUGCAGUUCGUGAGGAUCUUGGCAUUUUCAGCAGCUUCUGUGAUGCAUGAAGCAAACAAUUUUGUGAUCCUUUUACUCGGAACACAAUCUUUUCUAGCUUACUCGCGUUUUUCAACAGUGAUUCUAGAAAUGGAAAUAAGAUGUCACCCUCAACCAAAGUAACCUCAACAAUUCUCAACUGCAGCAUAAAGGACACAGGAAUAUGUAGUUCAAACUCGCGGUAGAAGUGACGAGAGGCCCACAGUGAAUAUGCCUCACCACAAUAGGACUUGACCCUUUCUCCAACUUCAAUGAAUAACUUCUUUGAAAGAGGGAAAAUCUCAAUCAUACCUACAAAUGUACGAUGAAAUCUGAACUGUAUGGAUUUGACAUUAGGAGAAGAUAAAUUCAUGCAUCCUUCUAUCAUAGCUCUAAGCACCUGUUGAAUCAAUAAGUUUAUAAUAAGAGGAUGAGCUGAUUGAAGCAAACCAAUAAGAUACAAGGUAAAACAUUGAUUCAAAGGGAUGCAAUAAUAAUUACCUAAAUUUUAAAGAAUGUCUUUUAUUGGUUCAAAGCUAAUCUCAAAUAAUGCAAAAUCUACUAACACAAAACCUUUAAAAUGUGAUUAAAAAGGCAAAAAAAGGACUAAGAGUUUAUUUGCCUGAUAAAUGUGAUAACCUUAAUAUAAUUGAUUCAGUAAAGAUUAAAGAAGCCACUGGUGAAAUAAAGUAAAGCGUACAAACACCUUGAUUCAAGGGGAUGCAUAAUAAUGCAAAAUCUACUCUAGCACAAAAUCUUUAAAAUGUGAUUAAAAAGGUAAAAGAAAGAUAAAGAGUUUAUUGCCUGAUAAAUGUGAUAAUAUAAUUGAUUCAAUAAAGAAGCUACUUAUGAAAAAGAAAAACAUACAAACACCGCCGCCCCAUCAAUGCACAGUGACGUUAGAAUUAAGAGAACAUGAUCAAUAGGUAUGUUGAAUAAUUAAUGAAAAAUCUUUAUCAAGCAUGAUUAGUUAAUGUCAAUGUUACCCGCAUUAGUCUAUAAUAAACAUAAUAAGCCAUAUAAGGCAGUUCAAAGAAACCAAACCUUGAAGCAACAGGGCAGUAAUUUGACGUUUUCAACGUGUUGGAUGUUUGGAAGAAUUUGACCAAAUAAAUCUCCAAAAAAAUGGUUUGAGGAUAAGAAGUCAUCUAUCCCGGGAAAGUAGUCACAAUAUGUUCGAUCAUAUCGAUGUAGAUUAGAAUACUCAAGAGUCACAUGAGUUAAAGAUGAGACAUUCAUCAACAAACACUUCCUAUAUGGAAUUCCUUUAAUUUCUAAGGUUUUAAGAUUUUGAGUCCAAAUUCUCAGCUCCGCCGUAUAAGUAGAUGAAUCAUCGUCGGCAUCAUGUAAAUGCCUGUUCAUCGAAAGCUCUUUCAAACUAGUAGACCGGAUAUACAAGCUUUCAUCACUUUCUACUAAAGACAGGAUUAAGACUUCCAACUGAGGGCUACCACACAAUAUUUGAUUAAUCACUUCGUCAGUGACCCCAUAACCUCUACGAAUUGUUAAACUCUUGAGAUGAUUCCACUGCACAUUCCCCUUAAAUCUAAAGUAACAAUUCUCGAUCGAUAACACUUUAAGCGAUGAGCAUGAGCACAGAAACUGUGGCAACCAGUGUAUAUCGUCAUCAUUACUAUGCCAUGAUUCACGAUCUUCUAUCACCAUAUGCAAGUAUAAUUCCUCAACUCCAUAUUUCUUGGCAAAACGCAACCACAAAUCAACAUCCAUAUGUAUUGAUUCCUCAUAAUCCAAUUCAACCUUGAAUUUCAAAAUCUUUACCCCAUCCCAGCGUGAUAAAACCCGAUGAACGAAGAUUCGAAGUUUAUCCCUAGUAUCAAACUCCUCAACAAAAUCAUCAAAAUAAAGGAAAGGGGUGGUGGUCCAGAGGUCUUUCCAGCGCCUCGAUAGUAUCGUUGUCCUAACAACUUCCCUCAUAGGCAAGAACCAAAAUAUGUGAAAUAUAACAUAGUCCGGCAACUCACUGAGUCUAUCCAUCUUCAAAAUCAAAACUUCUGAAUCAUAAUCAACUCAAAAUUUACCUAAACAGAUUCGGAGCAAUAACACAUAUAUCGAAUUCUCGAAGAUUACCUCAAAUGAACGCUUUGUUCUCUCGGAUGCUGCAGCCCCAAAUAGCCCUCGUUUGAGCUAAUCGACAAACAUACAGAACUCAAAAGCCAUAGUUCAUAAUUCAUCGAGCUGUAAACGAGCUAGGGUCGUCUAUUUGGGCACGAGCUCGAGCUCAGCUCGUUCUAGAAGCGACGGAGGCGGCGGCGGCGGAGUCGGUGAAUCUGAAAAAAUUAAUUGACGAAAUGAUGUGUUUUUCUUUCAGUCGAUGGGGUGGAGGGUUGACAACGGCGGCGAAAAGUAGAGAAGACGAAUUGAAUGGUGAGGGGAUUGAUUUCGGGCGGUGUGGGGUGGGGUGGGGUGGGGUGGGGCGGUGCGGUGGUGAGAGAGAGGCGGCGGGUUCGGAAUUGGAGAUACAAUUUGGAGGGUUGUGUGUCCACGAUAUAAUUAUUUGUACGUAUUUUUCUUAUAUUGAAUUUAAUUAUUAAUUCUAAAAAUAAUUUGAAAUUACACAACACAAAAGUACAAAAUAAUUAAAUGAAUUAGAAAAUUUACAUUACAUGAUAAAAAAGGUUUUAGAAGAUUAAAAAAGAGAAUUUCAUAUCAUACUAUUUAUAUCACAUGCCAACAAAAUAUAAACAAUCCUAAUGGGCUAAAAAAAUAUAUUUGAAGACCGUAAUUACUAAUCGUAUAAAUUUGUACAUAUAUUAUUUUAGUCGGUAAAGCGAUAACAUGCAUAUAUAUUCUAUUAAAUGCAUAACUAUGUUAUUUUGUAUAAAUAAUCUUGUUUCAAAUUUGUUUAGAGACUAAAUAAACACUCAUUUAUCCAUACAAUUGAACAGCGGGAGAAAGUUUGUUGUUGAAAGAGGCCCAACAUUAGCCCAUUAUCAAAUACUAUAUUCUUACAAAUUAAUAAAUAGUACGUAUAUGUUUUUUUAAAUAUAAGAAACAUACAACGGAAACGCCACCACCAUACUACUCCGGCUUUAUUUUUAAUGUAUAUUUUAUAAAUUUAUAUUUAAACAUACUUACAAUUUAUCUCUUUUUAUAAAAAGUAUACAAAUUUCAUAUUGAUAGAUUUAUUGAAAUCGUGAAAGAGUCAAAGAAAAAUAAAUGUGAUACUAGAUGAGGAAAAUUUUCAUUAUUGCAUUUAUGUAGUGUUAUUUGAAAAGAUGUAAAUAUAUUCUUUAUAUAUAUACAUUGGCAAUUUCUUUUUAUAUUUUAAAAGUAUUAUUUUAUUUUAUAAAAAUUGUAUAAUUAAGUUCACAUAACUAUUAAUUAUACAACUAAAACAUAACAUGCUACUAAUAAUUUUCCUCCUAAUGAAAAUGGUGCCUUAAAUAUAUUUGCAUGGGUUUUUAGUUUUUACCUAUGGGUGUAAGCACUGAUCAAUUUGUCCAAAUUUGACCCAUGGGUGUAGCACUGAAUUUAUCUCCCCAAUAUUUUCAAAAUUUUUCUGUUUUCUAAAUUUACACACCAAUAUCUGAAGCACUUCAUCAAGUAGAAACGUUUGAAAAGAAAAAUAACAAUCAAGGUUUCAUUCAUAGCAAUAAGAAGUUAAUCCAAAAGUGUCAAAUUGCUCCACUGCCCUGAAUAAGCAAAACAAAAUGAAACAAACAGGGUAACAAAAACUGAAACAGGGUUGAAGGAAAGUAAAAUCUAACUCCCCAUCUCGGAGCAUAACGCCGUCAUUGCAAAAUAUUUAUAGAAAAUGUACGACAAAAGCUAUUACGCGUCUAAGAAGACAAUCAGCUAGUUACCUGGAGUCAUGUGGCAUUCCUAUGAUUAAAGACAUAACUUGGUAAGAUCAAUAAUCACAGAAAACCAAUUGAGCAGUUGGGGAGGAUCUUGGCAUUCUCAACAGUUUCUGUGAUGCCAAAAACAAAGAUUUUGAUGGACGUUGAGGUGGCAUGAUUCCUUUUACGUUGAUCACCAUCUUUUCUAGAUUGAUUGCGUAUUUUAACAGAUACUCUAAGAAUGGAAAUACGUCGUCAUCCUCAUCCCAAGUAACCACAACUGUCCUCAACUGCAGAAAGGACUUGGGAGGAUAUGCUUCAAACUUGAGGUAGCUCAUGGCAUCAAAGUUGAGUGACUCUCGGUUUUCAUGCGCCCCGUAUCCUCCACUCCAUACAAUGACUAACUUCUUUAAUUGAGGGAAACUCUCAAGUAGGCCUACUAAUAGUUUGUAGUCACUGAAACAAAAUCUGAGUUCUAAGGACUUGACAUUAGGAUAAGAGGAAUUNCCCGUAUCCUCCACUACAUACAAUGACUAACUUCUUUAAUUGAGGGAAACUCUCAAGUAGGCCUACUAAUAGUUUAGUAGUCACUGAACAAAAUCUGAGUUCUAAGGACUUGACAUUAGGAUAAGAGGAAUUCAUGCAUCUCUUUAUCAUAGCUCCAAGCACCUAAUGUAACAUAAGUUCAUAAAAUAAUCAGCUCACUGAAGCAAACACCAAGUAAGAUAAAAGGCAAGCAUUGAUUUUUAGGGAUGCAACAGUGACUUCAUCAAAUUAAAAGAAUGUCAAACAUUCCAUAUCAUUUAUGGUUAUUACAAUACUAACAUACAAGUCACAAGCUUGAUGCUACAAAGUAAUGCAUAUAUAAAUUCUAGAAUGGAUUUAAAAAGGCCAAAAAAUGGAUAGGAGUUAGUUGCAUGAUAAAUGUGGGAACUCUUAUAAGUGGUUCAGUUAAAGAAGCCAAUGAUGCAACAAAGAAAGCAUACAAACACCGCCAUGCCAUCCAAGCUGAGAUUCACAGAUUAAUUGAAGUUAGAAUUACGAGAACAUGACUAACAACUAUGCUAAAUAAAUAAUGAAAACUUCAUCAAUAUAUUUAGAAUUAAUUUGAUCUCUUCAGUCUCAUUGCUACUCUAUUAAUACAUAACAAAUGCAAGACACAUAAGAUAGUUUAAAGAAACCAAACCUUGAUGCAAAGAACAUUAAUUUGACGUUUACAACAUGUUGCAUGGUUGAGAGAAAUUGACAGAACACGUCUCCCAGAAAAUCAUCCUUGGUAAACAAGCCAAGCUUGGUGUCCAUCCAAGGAAAGACACUUUCAUUUCCAUCAAAUUCAUAACCAUGUAGACCAAAAAACCCAAGAGUUGCAUUGGUCAAAGAUGAGAUAUUCACCAACAUACUCUUUCUAUAUGGAACUCCUUCAAUUUCCAAGGUUUCAAGAUUCGGGGUACAAAUUCUCAGUUCGGAAUCCCACCAUAGUAGAUCUUCACGAGAACAAAAAAACUCGCGAAUCGACAGCACUUUCAAACUAGUAGAUCGGAUACACAAGUGUUCACCCAUAUCGACAAAAGACAUGAUCAAGACUUCCAACUGAGGACUACCACAAAGUAUCUGGUUAAUCAAAGUUCAGUGACCCCAAAGCCAUAAGUAAUUGUUAAACUUUUGAGUUGAUUCCACUGCACAUUCCCAUAUACUCUAAAGUUACAAUCCUCAAACGAUAACACCUUAAGCGAUGAGCACGAGUAUACACACUGUGGCACAUAGUAUAUGUCGUCCAUACUAUCAAAAUCAUCAUCCCAAUCUUUUGGUAACCUAAUAUGUAAGUAGAAUUCUUCGACCCCUUAUCUGCAAAUUGAACCACAAAUCAACCCAAAUAAUGGACCCAUCAUUCUGAUAAACCGAUUUGACCUUAUAACCCAUUUAACUUGAAUUUCAGAACCUUACCCCAUUCCAGCGAUAAGGCCCGAUUAACGAAGUUUUAAGCUUUCUAUCAUCAUAAUUCAUGCAUAUUGUCGAAAUUAAGGAGGUGCGGUGGUCCAAAGGUUUUUCCAGCGCUUCGAUAGAAUCGUUGUCCUAACAACAUCAGUCAUAGGCAACGACCAAAAUAUGUGAAAUAUUAACGAGUCCGGCAACUCACUGAGUCGAUCCAUGAAAACCUCUGAAACAUAUGAAGCAUCAAUGAAUGAAAUGAGCACAAAAACUCAGAAUUCACCUUUAA